GAAUGGUUAAUUUCAUUUGCAAUCCCAAACUAGUAUUAUUGAAGCAUCUAGUAUAUUUACUAAUAAGGUAAUCAAAAAAAAAAAAAAAAAAAAAAAAUGGCGUUAGGUUAUUUCAUGAGAAUUGCAGUUAUGAUGGUGUUCGCUGUUUGUCAGUUGGCUAUGUAUUCUGAAGCAUCAUUAGGAGGAGCCAUCGGUGGUGGUAGCGGUGGUGUCAGUAUACCACAAGGAGGCAGAGGAGGAUACGGAGGAGGAGGACUAGGAGGAGGUACCGGAGGCAACAGCGGCAUCAGCGGCGUAGGAAAAUGAAUAUCAGUUUGUGUUCGAGGUGAAUCGGUUGCAGAAUUAAUCAAAUUACGCACAUAUGCAAGCCACAAUGGUUACCAAAUUAAUUAAUUCGCCGGAAUUCACGUUUAUUUGCAUAUUUUAAGAUUUAAUGUACUUAAUGUAGUAGGUAUGUACUUAUGGUGGAAGGAAUCCUUAUUCGCAUAGUAAAAUAAAAUAUUCAGCAACUCAAAA